GUGUAUGUUUCUUGACUGUCUAGUUUUAGGUUGCUGUGUAUGUGUUUAAACAUACACAGCAACCCAAAACUAGAUAGUCAAGAAAGCACAAUGA
rnacentral:miRNA from 1 species